UGGGGAAUAUUGCGCAAUGGGGGAAACCCUGACGCAGCGACGCCGCGUGUGGGAUGAAGGUCUUCGGAUUGUAAACCACUGUCGCGAGGGACGAAGCUCUGACGGUACCUCGAAAGGAAGCACCGGCUAACUCUGUGCCAGCAGCCGCGGUAAUACAGAGGGUGCGAGCGUUGUCCGGAAUCACUGGGCGUAAAGGGCGCGUAGGCGGCCCGGUAAGUAGGGGGUGAAAUCUCAUGGCUCAACUGUGAGGCUGCCUUCUAGACUGCCAGGCUUGAGCACAGUAGAGGCGAGUGGAAUUCCCGGUGUAGCGGUGGAAUGCGUAGAGAUCGGGAAGAACAUCGGUGGCGAAGGCGGCUCGCUGGGCUGUUGCUGACGCUGAGGCGCGAAAAGCGUGGGGAGCAAACAGGAUUAGAUACCCGAGUAGUCCCUGAGCGGGCUGGCAAGGCGCAU
rnacentral:rRNA from 1 species